CAGGAUGAACGCUAGCGGCAGGCUUAACACAUGCAAGUCGAGGGGCAUCGGGAGUAGCAAUACUUGCCGGCGACCGGCGCAAGGGUGCGUAACGCGUGAGCAACAUGCCCGUAUCAGGGGGAUAAUCCAUGGAAACGUGGUCUAAUACCCCAUAGUAAUUAUGUAAGGCAUCUUAUAUAAUUUAAAGCUUUGGUGGAUACGGAUUGGCUCGCGUGACAUUAGCUAGAUGGUAAGGUAACGGCUUACCAUGGCUACGAUGUCUAGGGGUUCUGAGAGGAAGGUCCCCCCACACUGGAACUGAGACACGGUCCAGACUCCUACGGGAGGCAGCAGUGAGGAAUAUUGGACAAUGGAUGGAAAUCUGAUCCAGCCAUGCCGCGUGCAGGAAAGACGGCCCUAUGGGUUGUAAACUGCUUUUGUAUGGGAGCAAUAAGGGCUACGCGUAGUCCGAUGAGAGUACCAUACGAAUAAGCACCGGCUAACUCCGUGCCAGCAGCCGC
rnacentral:rRNA from 1 species